ensembl:lncRNA
UUCCCCGGGGUUCACAGGGCCAGAGCCCUUCCCAGGAGACGCUGCUCCCCGCAGCCCCUUCCACGGUCAGAGGGGCCGGGGUUUCCAAGGGCGCUUAAAGCCGCCGCCGUCCUCACGGCACCUCCCACCUGGCCAGCGCCACUUCGCCGUCCCAGCGCCCGGACCUCCCUCGGCCCCUCCAAAGACGACCCGGAGAACAAACUACUGCAGCCGCAGAAAAGCCCCUCCUCGGCCGGACGCGCCGCCUCUCGACGCCGGCCGCGUGGAUCAGGCCCUCGGGCCGCCCCCUGUCCCCUGUUCCCGCAUCCCCGAGGCCCGCCGCUCCUCAGAGCAGCCGCGGCGCCCGGACGACAGUUGGGAGGCGUCCAGAGGCAAGGAGCCGGGGCCGGGUCUGCGGGCCGCGUACUCACCUCCCAGCGGGCGCCCCCGCCGCCGCCGCCCCCGCCGCCGCCGCAGCCCGCUGUCCGCUGGACCAGGCCGGUAGGAACUGCCGGCCCAGCUAGGCGGGGCGCGGAGCCCGGCGCGGGCGCCUCCGAUUGGUCACUGCAGGCCCCUCCCCUCCCUCGGCUGGCCCCGCCCCUGGCGGGGCUGAGGCAGGAGCUGCGCGCACAGGUCGGACUGAAGAGCGGUUCGGGUAGAGUUACCCGAUCUGACGUACGCUGGGGCCGCGUGACUGACUGGCGACGUCGGGUUGCGUCAUCCGCCGCGAGUCAAGGCCUACGCCGGCGCAGGAGACGUCGACGUCUGCGCUGCGGCACGCCACAGCGGGGCGGAGCCAGUCGCGGAAGGUCACGUGAGCGUCUGACUCGCGUGGUCACUUUUGGGUCCAUUCCGGGCAUCUGGCCAGGAGACCUGGGCGCCACCGGGCUCCAGGCAGCGCGUGGCCUUCCAAUAAGAGCUGCUCAGGUCCGCGAGGCCGAGCGCACCCGUGGGGCACAGUGGCCACGCGAAGAACGUCGCCGAAGGGCGGGUUCGAAGCAGGCACCGACCGCGGCCGCUGAGGGCGCAGCGGCGCGCAGAUAA